UAAAGACAAAGAGAAGUUUCCAGAAGGACUUUGAUAUGCUAAAGAAGACUCUGCAGCAGCCGGAGGCCCGCCUAUCGUGAAGCUAAGAUUCCUUCUUCGACUCGGUGCCAGGAGAACCGCGCCGUCCGGCUUCAUUUGGAAGCCGUUGCACAGAGGAAGUUGAUGUUAAGGUGGCGGGUGUGUGGCCAGAGUUCAAGUAACCGAAGCUGAGUAGAAACGCACUGUAACAUUCUUGCAGCGCGUGUGUCCUGCAGGUUUAACAGAGAAUUUUAGGGGCUCUUAGGGAAUGCUGAACUCAGGACAUACGCAAAGAAGUCUUAUUUCCAUAACUUGGCCCUAAGAUGACUCUGUCAGUGAAAAAUGUAAGGGAGAAUUUGCUGAUAAGGGAGGAGAUCGGUCACCUGAGGAAGUGAGUCACCU